GACGAACGCUGGCGGCGUGCUUAACACAUGCAAGUCGAACGGAAAGGCCCUGCUUUUGUGGGGUGCUCGAGUGGCGAACGGGUGAGUAACACGUGAGUAACCUGCCCUUGACUUUGGGAUAACUUCAGGAAACUGGGGCUAAUACCGGAUAGGCGCUCCUGCUGCAUGGGGGGGGUGGGAAAGUUUAGGCGGUUGGGGAUGGACGCGCGGCUUAUCAGCUUGUUGGUGGGGUAGUGGCUUACCAAGGCUUUGACGGGUAGCCGGCCUGAGAGGGUGACCGGCCACAUUGGGACUGAGAUACGGCCCAGACUCCUACGGGGGGCAGAAGUGGGGAGUAUUGCACAAUGGGCGGGAGCCUGAUGCAGCAACGCCGCGUGCGGGAUGACGGCCUUCGGGUUGUAAACCGCUUUCGCCUGUGACGAAGCGUGAGUGACGGUAAUGGGUAAAGAAGCACCGGCUAACUACGUG
rnacentral:rRNA from 1 species